rnacentral:rRNA from 1 species
CCUACGGGUGGCAGCAGUCGAGAAUCAUUCACAAUGGGGGAAACCCUGAUGGUGCGACGCCGCGUGGGGGAAUGAAGGUCUUCGGAUUGUAAACCCCUGUCAUGUGGGAGAAAAUUAAAAAGUAAGUACCAAAAGAGGAAGAGACGGCUACAUCUGUGCAAGCAGCCGCGGUAAUACAGAGGUCUCAAGCGUUGUUCGGAAUCACUGGGCGUAAAGCGUGCGUAGGCUGUUUCGUAAGGCGUGUGUGAAAGGCGCGGGCUCAACCCGCGGACGGCCCAUGUUACUGCGAGACUAGAGUAAUGGAGGGGGAAGCGGAAUUCUGGGUGUAGCAGUGAAAUGCGUAGAUAUCGAGAGGAACACUCGUGGCGAAGGCGGGUUCCUGGACAUUAACUGACGCUGAGGCACGAAGGCCAGGGGAGCGAAAGGGAUUAGAUACCCGUGUAGUC